CUUAAGCGCGCGACCUAUACCCG
rnacentral:siRNA from 1 species